ACACGACUACAUUAGACUACCCGCGUAGUCCCAGCCCUAAACGAUGCGCGUUAGGUGUAUCGGUGACCACGAGUCACCGAGGUGCCGAAAGGGAACCGUGAAACGUGCCGCCUGGGAAGUACGGUCGCAAGGCUGAAACUUAAAGGAAUUGGCGGGGAGCACCACAACGGGUGGAGCCUGCGGUUUAAUUGGACUCAACGCCGGGAAGCUCACCGGAUAAGACAGCGGAAUGAUUGCCGGGCUGAAGACCCUGCAUGACCAGCUG
rnacentral:rRNA from 1 species